CACGAGGCUAAAUACUGUAUGUCAUUCCAGGUAAUCACCACGGCGCUCGGACUGAGGACGCCUUUGUUCGCCGUCGCUGCGGAAAAGCCUGCGUGCUGCUUGGAGGUGUGAUGUGUCUGGUGGUGGCAGAUGAAAGUGGUCUGAGUGGUUCCAAAAGAAGUCUCCUUCCACUUGAUAAAUGUCAAGCAAAUGAAGACCUGGGCUGAAAGCAAUUUCCUCGCCGUGCGCCAGAGACUCGGGGAGGUUUUCCUGGGCCCGCCAUCGAUCAUGAAGCCUCUGUUGUAGGCCAAGAUGGAUCGACUCUUUUCAACGACUCUUUUAGGUCAACCACCAGAAUUGACUCGCAGUUGUAAGUCGCUUUUUUAACACACAUUUACAGCAUUUUUAUGUCGACGCAGCACUAUCUGCCCA